UUUCUAUUUUUUUGUGUUCUUGUGUAUGUUUUUAUAUAAAGAAAGGUAGGGACUAAAGAAAAGAAUUAUUGUUGUGACUUGUGACCAUGGAUUCAAAGAUUUAUGGUGUUCCACUUUCCACAAUACAAGGGACCCCACCUCCUGCAAAGGUCCCUGUUUUUACAGGUAUUAGAGCUCCUCUUACUGUGUUCCACUUUCCACAGUACAAGGGACCCCACCUCCUGCAAAGGUCCCUCUUUUUACAGGUAUUAGAGCUCCUCUUACUGUUGAUGAUUCUGACUUUGAAUACUCUAAUGGACAAAAGAAUACUAGUUCCACCAGCAGUUAUUAUGG
rnacentral:lncRNA from 1 species